rnacentral:misc_RNA from 1 species
GUAAUGGUUUCGGCCUGUGCUGGACACUUGCUAUGGAUCGUUAUCUCAUUGAUUUGCUGCAAGACCAGGCACUUAGAGGGAAUAAAAUUGGUCAUGAAUUGACAACUGAGGCUUGGAUUGAAAUGAUCAAGUUGUUCAAUGAGAGAUUUGGGACACAUCAUGAGAAAGAAAUUCUGAAGAAUCGGUACAUACAUUUGAGGAGGCG